AUACGGAGGGUGCAAGCGUUACUCGGAAUCACUGGGCGUAAAGCGCGCGCAGGCGGCCUGAUAAGCUGGAUGUGAAAGCCUACGGCUCAACCGUAGAACUGCAUCCAAAACUGUCAGGCUAGAGUGUGGGAGAGGAAGAUGGAAUUAGUUGUGUAGGGGUAAAAUCCGUAGAGAUAACUAGGAAUACCAAAAGCGAAGGCAAUCUUCUGGAACACUACUGACGCUGAGGCGCGAAGGCGUGGGGAGCAAACAGGAUUAGAAACCCGGGUAGUCC
rnacentral:rRNA from 1 species